UACAGAGGUCCCGAGCGUUGUUCGGAUUCAUUGGGCGUAAAGGGUGCGUAGGCGGCGGGGCAAGUCUGAUGUGAAAUCCCGGGGCUCAACCCCGGAACUGCAUUGGAUACUGCCUUGCUAGAGUACUGGAGAGGGAACUGGAAUUUACGGUGUAGCAGUGAAAUGCGUAGAGAUCGUAAGGAAGGCCAGUGGCGGAAGGCGAGUUCCUGGACAGUUACUGACGCUGAGGCACGAAGGCCAGGGGAGCAAACGGG
rnacentral:rRNA from 1 species